UCGAGGAUCUUCAGCAAUGGGGGAAACCCUGACCGAGCGACGCCGCGUGCGGGAUGAAGGCCUUCGGGUUGUAAACCGCUGUCAGAGGGGAGGAAAUGCCGGGAAGUAAUUCAUAAUCGACCCGGUUUGACCUAUCCUCAGAGGAAGGACGGGCUAAGUUCGUGCCAGCAGCCGCGGUAAUACGAACCGUCCAAACGUUAUUCGGAAUCACUGGGCUUAAAGGGUGCGUAGGCGGCCCGAAAAGUUGGGUGUGAAAGCCCUCGGCUCAACCGAGGAACUGCGCCCAAAACUGCCGGGCUCGAGGGAGACAGAGGUGAGCGGAACUUAGGGUGGAGCGGUGAAAUGCGUUGAUAUCCUAAGGAACACCAGUAGCGUAAGCGGCUCACUGGGUCUCUUCUGACGCUGAGGCACGAAAGCUAGGGGAGCGAAGAG
rnacentral:rRNA from 1 species